AGCACAGGAGAGCUUGCUCUCUGGGUGGCGAGUGGCGGACGGGUGAGGAAUACAUCGGAAUCUACUCUGUCGUGGGGGAUAACGUAGGGAAACUUACGCUAAUACCGCAUACGACCUACGGGUGAAAGCAGGGGAUCUUCGGACCUUGCGCGAUUGAAUGAGCCGAUGUCGGAUUAGCUAGUUGGCGGGGUAAAGGCCCACCAAGGCGACGAUCCGUAGCUGGUCUGAGAGGAUGAUCAGUCACACUGGAACUGAGACACGGUCCAGACUCCUACGGGAGGCAGCAGUGGGGAAUAUUGGACAAUGGGCGCAAGCCUGAUCCAGCCAUACCGCGUGGGUGAAGAAGGCCUUCGGGUUGUAAAGCCCUUUUGUUGGGAAAGAAAUCCAGCUGGCUAAUACCCGGUUGGGAUGACGGUACCCAAAGAAUAAGCACCGGCUAACUUCGUGCCAGCAGCCGCGGUAAUACGAAGGGUGCAAGCGUUACUCGGAAUUACUGGGCGUAAAGCGUGCGUAGGUGGUCGUUUAAGUCCGUUGUGAAAGCCCUGGGCUCAACCUGGGAACUGCAGUGGAUACUGGGCGACUAGAAUGUGGUAGAGGGUAGCGGAAUUCCCGGUGUAGCAGUGAAAUGCGUAGAGAUCAGGAGGAACAUCCAUGGCGAAGGCAGCUACCUGGACCAACAUUGACACUGAGGCACGAAAGCGUGGGGAGCAAACAGGAUUAGAUACCCUGGUAGUCCACGCCCUAAACGAUGCGAACUGGAUGUUGGGUGCAAUUUGGCACG
rnacentral:rRNA from 1 species